rnacentral:tRNA from 2 species
GGCAAUUUGUCCGAGUGGUUUAAGGAGUUUGACUUGAAUUCUAUCAAAUGCGGUUUCCGCGCGUAGGUUCGAGUCCUGCAAUUGUCG